ACGAACAUAAAGUCAAUUUAAACUGGGAUACCGUGAAUUAAAUAGAGAAUUUGGGCCUGUAUCAUGAAGCUGGAUUUCUUCUUACUUAGCCCGAUAACUUGUCGGAUAUCAGGUUCUGAUUGACACCGAGACCUUCCUUCCUAGUUCCGGGUCCCCAAGCGGCUUCAAUGAGGGCAAAAUGUGAGCACUAGCCAGUUGCGGAAUAGCACUCCUCCGACAAAAACUCGUACAUCUUGCAAAUGGAAUAUCAUUGAAAGGAAUUUUAUUCCGGAGGUUCUACAGAAUCCAACAAUUUACAGUUGGCGUGGCAACAGCACCUAGUAAGUUUGAAGGAUGUGAUGAGCUUAAGGAUGCAGUGACGCUUGCGUGUGGAGAAGAGGGCGGAGCUUAAGGAUACAGUGACGCUUGCGUGUGGAGAAGAGGGCGGAGCUUAAGGAUGCAGUGACGCUUGCGUGUGGAGAAGAGGGCGGAGCUUAAGGAUACAGUGAAGCUUGCAUGUGGAGAAGAGGGCGGAGCUUCAGCCGCCUGGGCAGCUCACUAACACUCCAGUGGAUUAUUGACUAUAUGACCCUGUGAGUCCAGGAUGCUAAUUCUGAUUCCUUUUUUGCUAAAUCCCAUUUAAAGAAUAAUUGUGAUGCAUAUUUUUUAAAAAAAGAUUAGUUUUUAAAAUCUUUCUUUUCCUCAGCAAUUGUGUUAGAGUAAUAUUGCACAUUUGUGGCCAUAAAUAUAGACCAUUAGUUGUUUUAUUUAUUGUUCACAGCAUUUUUUGUUCAUAUCUGAAUAUCUUGGAGUUUACCACAUACAUGGCGGUAAUAACUUAUCUGUUGUAAUGCGAUAUCUGGACCAAUAAUGAUGGCUUGUCAGUUUUAAAAAAUUAA